UUCUGCGUCUUUGAGAUCGUGAGGCUGGGUCAAAGUCGGGGCCAAAAUUUAGAGCCCGAGAGUUGUUCCCCUUAGUCUCUGCUCAACCAUUGCCGAACGGCAGGGGUUGAUUGAAGAUUUCUAGAGGCCCCGGUGUGUCUUCGGCGAGGGUUGCCAUUUUCCUGGUGUUGGUGUCGGGUCUUCUUGAUCUUCGGCAAGGACGAGUUUGAAGAAGGCUCUAGCGCAUUCGAUAACAGGGUUUCUCGACCCAUCAAUUUUUCAAUCACCCACUUUCCUUCCCCACAGCCCUUACCGUUCGGCAAGGGUGUGCAUUUUCCUUAACGGCCUCCGUGGAGGCUGCCUUCGAAAAGAUGAAUUUUUGUGGGUUUGAGUCUUGAGAUUUGAGGAGUCUGCAAGUACGGGUUUGCGUUGGGUUGCUUGCUAGGAGCUGGGUCCUUAGCGGGUCAGCAAGAAGCAUUUGUUGAGGGGGCUGCCAUCGUGACCUGGAACCGUGACUGGUGAGCUGUUUUGCAUGCCCCCUGAAUUCCGUACGGUGGUUACCGUUCGGCAAUGCCCAUCCGAGACUAAUGUUGAUUAUGCAAGUAGGGUCUUCGGCAACUCGGGACAAACUGGAGCUGAUCCUUUGGUGAGACUUGGGUAGGCUGAAUGAGCGUGAACUGAAGCUGGGCCUUGAGCAUUUGGCAAGGUACAAGGGUUUUGAGAGGGAAGGUGAAAGGGUGCUAGGGUUUUGCUAGCUUUAUAAAUAGGAACUUGGAGUGACGUAGGCAUCACACUUGGAGAUUUUUUAGAAAGAUUUCCAGAAAGUGAAAAGGAGAAAGAUUUCCAGUGAGAUUUUGGUGGUGGUGCUAGGGCCAAGGAGAUUUCCGGCGAAUUUCCGUGGUGGUGCAAACAAGAUGUUUGAGAGUGAAGAGGCCAGUGAGUAUAUUUGUUCUGAAGAUGAGAGUUCCCAGACAGAGGGUUUUGUAGAAGGGCUUAUAGAAGCUAGGAUGGUAGUUCAUGAGGGUGAGAUGGCUGGGCCAUCAGUAGAGUGUGAGUCAGAGGCAUAUAGGGAGAUGCAUAAGAAGUAUAAAGUGUU